AAUUUUAUUUCGGUAGAAUUCUUAGUGGCGAACGGGUGAGUAACGCGUAGGCAACCUGCCCUUUAGACGGGGACAACAUUCCGAAAGGAGUGCUAAUACCGGAUGUGAUCAUCUUGCCGCAUGGCAGGAUGAAGAAAGAUGGCCUCUACAAGUAAGCUAUCGCUAAAGGAUGGGCCUGCGUCUGAUUAGCUAGUUGGUAGUGUAACGGACUACCAAGGCGAUGAUCAGUAGCCGGUCUGAGAGGAUGAACGGCCACAUUGGGACUGAGACACGGCCCAAACUCCUACGGGAGGCAGCAGUGGGGAAUCUUCCGCAAUGGACGAAAGUCUGACGGAGCAACGCCGCGUGAGUGAUGAAGGAUUUCGGUCUGUAAAGCUCUGUUGUUUAUGACGAACGUGCAGUGUGUGAACAAUGCAUUGCAAUGACGGUAGUAAACGAGGAAGCCACGGCUAACUACGUGCCAGCAGCCGCGGUAAUACGUAGGUGGCGAGCGUUGUCCGGAAUUAUUGGGCGUAAAGAGCAUGUAGGCGGCUUAAUAAGUCGAGCGUGAAAAUGCGGGGCUCAACCCCGUAUGGCGCUGGAAACUGUUAGGCUUGAGUGCAGGAGAGGAAAGGGGAAUUCCCAGUGUAGCGGUGAAAUGCGUAGAUAUUGGGAGGAACACCAGUGGCGAAGGCGCCUUUCUGGACUGUGUCUGACGCUGAGAUGCGAAAGCCAGGGUAGCGAACGGGAUUAGAUACCCCGGUAGUCCUGGCCGUAAACGAUGGGUACUAGGUGUAGGAGGUAUCGACCCCUUCUGUGCCGGAGUUAACGCAAUAAGUACCCCGCCUGGGGAGUACGGCCGCAAGGUUGAAACUCAAAGGAAUUGACGGGGGCCCGCACAAGCGGUGGAGUAUGUGGUUUAAUUCGACGCAACGCGAAGAACCUUACCAAGGCUUGACAUUGAUUGAACGCUCUAGAGAUAGAGAUUUCCCUUCGGGGACAAGAAAACAGGUGGUGCAUGGCUGUCGUCAGCUCGUGUCGUGAGAU
rnacentral:rRNA from 1 species